rnacentral:rRNA from 1 species
GACGAACGCUGGCGGCGUGCCUAAUACAUGCAAGUUGAGCGCUGAAGGUUGGUACUUGUACCAACUGGAUGAGCAGCGAACGGGUGAGUAACGCGUGGGGAAUCUGCCUUUGAGCGGGGGACAACAUUUGGAAACGAAUGCUAAUACCGCAUAAAAACUUUAAACACAAGUUUUAAGUUUGAAAGAUGCAAUUGCAUCACUCAAAGAUGAUCCCGCGUUGUAUUAGCUAGUUGGUGAGGUAAAGGCUCACCAAGGCGAUGAUACAUAGCCGACCUGAGAGGGUGAUAGGCCACAUUGGGACUGAGACACGGCACAAACGCCUACGGGAGGCAGCAGUAGGGAAUCUUCGGCAAUGGACGAAAGUCUGACCGAGCAACGCCGCGGGAGUGAAGAAGGUUUUCGGAUCGUAAAACUCUGUUGGUAGAGAAGAACGUUGGUGAGAGUGGAAAGCUCAUCAAGUGACGGUAACUACCCAGAAAGGGACGGCUAACUACGUG